GCCGUCGCAAAUGCGCAAACGACCUGCUCAGAAGAAACUAGAAACUAGAGCGAAAUUCGUCGGGUUUUGAUUCGCGGUGUUUCGGCAAGCGCUUAGCGCAGGCAAAAACAGUCUGAAGUGAAACGUUUGUGCGGCUGGUCGUUGUUUACGUUUUGUGCGCAGCGCCGUGGAGAACUUGAUAAAAACGGAACAGCUGGUGCUGGAGAACUCGAUCGGUGAUCAAAAGAGAUUUUGCCGGCAGCCGGCCGACAAUAUUGUUCCGCCGAGGAUGCGACGAAGCGAACAAACGAUUGGCAUCAAUCAAUCUGAAUA